rfam:Thalassiosira oceanica strain CCMP1005 To_g17298, whole genome shotgun sequence.
CCCCCGUUAGCUCAGUAGGUAGAGCGCAGGUCUCAUAAUCCUGAAGUCGUGAGUUCGAUCCUCACAUGGGGCA